CGGCUGGCCGGCUUUUAUCGUUAUGUCUUGAUUUCUACUCAAGAGUGGAGCAAGGCAAGUUGGUUCUUUAUUCUAUGGCAAGGCCCCAAGGAACAGAGAUUGACGCAUCGGGAGCGAAGAACAGAAGCGAUGGAUGGUUACGCUACGCUGCUUGACUCUCGGCAUGCUCGAAUUGGCAAAGUUCCGAAUUCGUCGCUGCGUGAUGUGCGCUUGUGUGCUCGUAAUGUGCCGUCAUAGCGCGGGGAUAUUUGCGCUGAAUGUGUUCCACUUGGUCUACAAAACUCUGCACGCAACGGCACCGAAGAAGUUGUCCUGUGUUCAGGUGCACGUAUGUGCUUGGAUACGCGAUAGCCUGCCCUCAACGGAUGUUCAACAGUCUGCACGCGCUCGUAACUUGCUCACGAGCUAAGCCCGUUGUAAUUUGUUUUUGUUUGUGUUUGCGUAGCGUAGGUGUUAAAAUGAUGUGUAGUAAGCCGGCGUCGCGAUCAGAAAUUUUUUUUCAAAAAGGCCAUUAAACGGCUUCUUAGGGUAAAAAGCGCGCGUACUUGGGAAAAAGUAUCACAUAUCAAUUGAGCUCAAUAUCUAUGGUAGCGCGGUCGGCUCGAUCGCGAUCGAAUUUUCCGUGUGACGAUUAUAACCUCUUGCUCACUUGCGUUAAAAACGUAGAAUAAAAGUGCAUUCAGUUGCGCACAUGAGAGCAUGCUGUAUCCGAUCAUCGAAACAAUCGAGCUAAUAGUAGUGGUUCACUACGUGCGAUGGUUACUUUUCUGCUUGCAUGCGCUUUUUUAAUGCUAUGCAGCUGUGACAAAAAAAAAAAAAUGUUAGCUCUGCUGUGUCUUUCUUUGAUGCAACUUAUUGCGGUGCAGCUUUGAGUGAUGCCUGCCCAGUCAAGGCAUUCGUGUCAGUAAGCUAGCCGUAAAUGUUGUAUCAGUUGCAAAAAAAGAAAAAAAAAUGACAUACCAGUGAGGCGAAUGCAAUCAUCAUAGACUAUUUUAUAAAUACUUGAGUUAAAUUGCUUAACGGGAGGGUCAAUGUGCAUGAAAACCAGAUGACUGUGUUGAUACUUAGCAGGACCAAGGUUACAUAACAUUACUAAUUCAUCAUUUUCUUUCACUGAAAGGCUACUUGCUGUUGCCCUGCUGAAGCUGAGAAGAGGUCUGCUGCCUGCCAAGUGCCCAUGUCUGUCAAGUUGUUGCAGUAUUGUUGCCCGCAAAGUGAGGGCAUUUUUUUCUCUUAGCUUUUUACUAGCUGGAUCACGACAUCUACUUAGCUGUGUAGGUGAGCACUGUUCGCGACAUUGAAGUGCUGGUGGACAAGCACCUCUUAAAUAUUACACGCCUGACGGAGUGCAGCUGUGGCAGUAUGCAAAGGUGUUGAUAUAUAAGCCAAAUUAGGUUCUUUCAGUUAAUAUAUUGGUGUCAUUGAAUUGUGGUCUAGCAAUAUAAAAUGCCAAAUGGGGAGAAAUAGCUUUAAUUUGCUCUUGGUAGGUUGUGCAAGCAAAUCAACUAAGCUGUUACACAUGAAAUGGGGCAUUUGUAGCUGCAUUCCGCAACACUCCAGCCCUGUAUAACUUGCGAGUUAGGUGCUACCACUAUAAUUUCUCUGUAACCCAUAAAGCGAGGUUCGGCAUUGUAGGAGGCUGGCGUGAACAGAGAUCUAUGUAAUGUGAAUUUUAAAUGUAAAAAUGAGGUGUUCCUGUUUGGGUGUCUGUAUAGACUUAUGCUUUAGUUCCAGUUUCGUAUAAGGCAUACUUGGAUGGGAAAAUUGAUUUCUUUUGGGCGUAUUGGCACAAAUGCGUGGGUAAUGCUUGUAUACAUAGACAUUACAUCGCGAUUGCUUAGCCAAGUGGUGUGCCUGCGUGCAAAAAUUUAGAAGGCUCAGAUUGAAGACUAUCAACGUCUGUCGUAAAAUUAACACCUUUUAUAGUUAGACAUGACAAUUACUGCAUGCCAUCAUAGUGUGAUUAUAUUUUUGCUGAAUGUGCUUCACUUUGUCUAUAAAGCCCUGCACACUCUGGCAUCAUGGAAAAUAUAAUGUGAAACAUGCCAUGCAACUUACCGAUGUGCACGAAUAUAACGCAGGUUAUUUUUUUCUAGAAUUUCUGGCCUUGGAAAUGCACGUCAUGUUAUAUUCUUGUUCGUGACAGGGCUGUAAUGCAGAUUCCUUUCUUUAUAUUUUCUGGCUUUUUAAACUGGCAAGCCAAACCACUGUGCAACAAUACUGUGAUUGCUACCACGUGUGGACUAUGUUCGAACGCACAUGAGCAAAAACAGCUUUGCCUUAUUCGAUUGUGUUGCGGGCACUUCUGUUUCCAAUUACCUUGGUGGCAUUGAAGUGCUAUCCACUUCCAUGCAUUAUUUUCUGUUUUGUUAUUGCAUAACGUCACAUUACAAUUGAAAUAUGUUUUUGUUCUUUCUCUGAGAGCCCCAUAGCUCUGAGGUCUUUCUCUGAGAGCCCCCACCCCUUUCCUUGUGUUGUAAUUGUGGUUGCAUCAAUUAUGUGCAAAGGAUGGUAUAGAUGACCAGUCCUCCAAAUUUCAUUUUAUCACAAAGUAAGGCACAAGUACCUAGAGAAUUCGGUAUAUUAGAAAACCAAAGUUGAACUGCCAAACACUACCAAGCAGCCUCAGAGUAGUUUGUCUCAAGUAGAUAGAUUUCAUUGGUCAUGUAGAGGUGCACAACAUACCUCUUUAUUACUUGCUGAACACGUAAGCUGUGAGAAAACUGAAUAUUUUCGUAGCUUGAGCUAUGUGCUAUCGACUAUUGUUUCUACUCUCUUCAGUUGUGUAAGAAUACCCAGCAUUUCUUUUUCUAACCCAUUUCACUUAUUACAGAAGGAUUACUGUAUGUGUGCAGCGAAAACGAAUCAUGUGGGCAAUGAUAAGCCAACAAUGUGUAAACUUGGAACAUUCAUUGUGCAGUUUGAUGGCUCAGAAUAAGUAGAAAUACACCAUAAACACUUUUAACUUUUGCUUGACACAAGGCUACAGCAUACACUAACUGUACUUGCCUGCUGUAGCCCUGUGCCAAGUAAAUUUCAAUUGCAAUUUAGCUUUCCAGUGUAUGCUUCUGUUCUUACAUCCUGUUGGAGGGCUGGUAACAUGUUUCACAUUUCUAGCAACCACUUAGCCCCUCUUGUGAAGGUGGUAAAAAUGUACCAACUAUAUUUUUUAACCGAUUUGCUAGAAUGUGUAGGCAGUUCGCUUGGAAAACUAAAGCAAUAGAACCAGCGCAGUGAUGUGACUUUCUGUUCGCGUGUCAUAGGUUAAGAAAAGCAAGGUGGGAGCUGUUGCCAGUGUUCUGACUAGAAAGUGAAACCAGUAUAAACGGGUUACACACCACUGAUCUCUACUAUAGGGGGCUGGAUAGCGCAUUGAGCGCCCUCGACUGAAGCCAACCUGUUCCCGGAAGUUGGCUCUUUAUGACUUUGCAGUGGCACUACACCUGCAUGGGAGGGCACUGCCAAAGCAGGCCAGAGAAGUGUUUUGAGACGUCCAGAAUUUUCCAUCACAGGUGCCAACAACAUUGCUAACAUAAGUGCUGAAAACACUGGUGAAUCGCAUACGGGUACAGAUACGGGUAAGAGCUCUUACCAGACAUGUAGAGACAUCUCCUGAAAUGCAAAAAAAAAAAAGCUCGAAGAAAAAAACUGCAAUAUUAUGUUACUGCAUGCACUAUUACAUGCAGCAAACACCAUGCUUCAGGGACAAGCCGCUGCAUGACACCACAUUUCCACUGCCUUCACCUGCGCCUGCCUGGCUUGGCAAGCCGCGAAGCGGCAUCCAGCAAAACAUAGAAGAGAUCAGUGCAUGUGGAGACGAGAUUUCUUAAACAUGGCCAUGGCCCUCAAGAAAGUAGCCGAGACCAGAGCCUGCGGAUGUUCAUUCCUGUUCUGGCAAAGAUAGGCCAGCCUUAACCAGCUGGGUUUUCCAAAGCGAACUCAUCGCAGCUUGAGUCGCCCCAUGUCACAAGCAGUUGUUCCUACAGGGACCGUGAAAAGGUUUUCUGGAGCACAAGUCUAACUCGGUGCCACCACCCUUCUACUGCAGUUUGUUUACCUACUCUGCUAACCAGCAGCAAGUUUAUCCUUGCAAGGCAUGUGGGAUCAAGAACAACUUUCACCAGGAAAGAGUGCAAGACAAGUGGUUGAACAAAAUAAAGUUGUUUCUAUGUUCUAAAGAA